AUGCACGCUGGCGGCGUGCCUAAUACAUGCAAGUCGAGCGAACAGACGAGGAGCUUGCUCCUCUGGCGUUAGCGGCGGACGGGUGAGUAACACGUGGAUAACCUACCUAUAAGACUGGGAUAACUUCGGGAAACCGGAGCUAAUACCGGAUAAUAUAUUGAACCGCAUGGUUCAAUAGUGAAAGACGGUUUUGCUGUCACUUAUAGAUGGAUCCGCGCCGCAUUAGCUAGUUGGUAAGGUAACGGCUUACCAAGGCAACGAUGCGUAGCCGACCUGAGAGGGUGAUCGGCCACACUGGAACUGAGACACGGUCCAGACUCCUACGGGAGGCAGCAGUAGGGAAUCUUCCGCAAUGGGCGAAAGCCUGACGGAGCAACGCCGCGUGAGUGAUGAAGGUCUUCGGAUCGUAAAACUCUGUUAUUAGGGAAGAACAAAUGUGUAAGUAACUAUGCACGUCUUGACGGUACCUAAUCAGAAAGCCACGGCUAACUACGUG
rnacentral:rRNA from 1 species